rnacentral:rRNA from 2 species
GGGCGUUAAGUUGCAGGGUAUAGACCCGAAACCCGGUGAUCUAGCCAUGGGCAGGUUGAAGGUUGGGUAACACUAACUGGAGGACCGAACCGACUAAUGUUGAAAAAUUAGCGGAUGACCUGUGGCUGGGGGUGAAAGGCCAAUCAAACCGGGAGAUAGCUGGUUCUCCCCGAAAGCUAUUUAGGUAGCGCCUCGUGAAUUCAUCUCCGGGGGUAGAGCACUGUUUCGGCUAGGGGGCCAUCCCGGCUUACCAACCCGAUGCAAACUGCGAAUACCGGAGAAUGUUAUCACGGGAGACACACGGCGGGUGCUAACGUCCGUCGUGAAGAGGGAAACAACCCAGACCGCCAGCUAAGGUCCCAAAGUCAUGGUUAAGUGGGAAACGAUGUGGGAAGGCCCAGACAGCCAGGAUGUUGGCUUAGAAGCAGCCAUCAUUUAAAGAAAGCGUAAUAGCUCACUGGUCGAGUCGGCCUGCGCGGAAGAUGUAACGGGGCUAAACCAUGCACCGAAGCUGCGGCAGCGACACUAUGUGUUGUUGGGUAGGGGAGCGUUCUGUAAGCCUGUGAAGGUGGCCUGUGAGGGUUGCUGGAGGUAUCAGAAGUGCGAAUGCUGACAUAAGUAACGAUAAAGCGGGUGAAAAGCCCGCUCGCCGGAAGACCAAGGGUUCCUGUCCAACGUUAAUCGGGGCAGGGUGAGUCGACCCCUAAGGCGAGGCCGAAAGGCGUAGUCGAUGGGAAACGGGUUAAUAUUCCCGUACUUGGUGUUACUGCGAAGGGGGGACGGAGAAGGCUAUGUUGGCCGGGCGACGGUUGUCCCGGUUUAAGCGUGUAGGCUGGUUUUCCAGGCAAAUCCGGAAAAUCAAGGCUGAGGCGUGAUGACGAGGCACUACGGUGCUGAAGCAACAAAUGCCCUGCUUCCAGGAAAAGCCUCUAAGCAUCAGGUAACAUCAAAUCGUACCCCAAACCGACACAGGUGGUCAGGUAGAGAAUACCAAGGCGCUUGAGAGAACUCGGGUGAAGGAACUAGGCAAAAUGGUGCCGUAACUUCGGGAGAAGGCACGCUGACACGUAGGUGAAGUGAUUUACUCAUGGAGCUGAAGUCAGUCGAAGAUACCAGCUGGCUGCAACUGUUUAUUAAAAACACAGCACUGUGCAAACACGAAAGUGGACGUAUACGGUGUGACGCCUGCCCGGUGCCGGAAGGUUAAUUGAUGGGGUCAGCGCAAGCGAAGCUCCUGAUCGAAGCCCCGGUAAACGGCGGCCGUAACUAUAACGGUCCUAAGGUAGCGAAAUUCCUUGUCGGGUAAGUUCCGACCUGCACGAAUGGCGUAAUGAUGGCCAGGCUGUCUCCACCCGAGACUCAGUGAAAUUGAACUCGCUGUGAAGAUGCAGUGUACCCGCGGCAAGACGGAAAGACCCCGUGAACCUUUACUAUAGCUUGACACUGAACAUUGAGCCUUGAUGUGUAGGAUAGGUGGGAGGCUUUGAAGUGUGGACGCCAGUCUGCAUGGAGCCGACCUUGAAAUACCACCCUUUAAUGUUUGAUGUUCUAACGUGGACCCGUGAUCCGGGUUGCGGACAGUGUCUGGUGGGUAGUUUGACUGGGGCGGUCUCCUCCUAAAGAGUAACGGAGGAGCACGAAGGUUGGCUAAUCCUGGUCGGACAUCAGGAGGUUAGUGCAAUGGCAUAAGCCAGCUUGACUGCGAGCGUGACGGCGCGAGCAGGUGCGAAAGCAGGUCAUAGUGAUCCGGUGGUUCUGAAUGGAAGGGCCAUCGCUCAACGGAUAAAAGGUACUCCGGGGAUAACAGGCUGAUACCGCCCAAGAGUUCAUAUCGACGGCGGUGUUUGGCACCUCGAUGUCGGCUCAUCACAUCCUGGGGCUGAAGUAGGUCCCAAGGGUAUGGCUGUUCGCCAUUUAAAGUGGUACGCGAGCUGGGUUUAGAACGUCGUGAGACAGUUCGGUCCCUAUCUGCCGUGGGCGCUGGAGAACUGAGGGGGGCUGCUCCUAGUACGAGAGGACCGGAGUGGACGCAUCACUGGUGUUCGGGUUGUCAUGCCAAUGGCACUGCCCGGUAGCUAAAUGCGGAAGAGAUAAGUGCUGAAAGCAUCUAAGCACGAAACUUGCCCCGAGAUGAGUUCUCCCUGAGACUUAAAGUCUCCUGAAGGAACGUUGAAGACGACGACGUUGAUAGGCCGGGUGUGUAAGCGCAGCGAUGCGUUGAGCUAACCGGUACUAAUGAACCGUGAGGCUUAACCUU